rnacentral:rRNA from 1 species
AACGAACGCUGGCGGCGCGCCUAAUACAUGCAAGUCGAGCGAGAAGACGUAGCAAUACGUUUGUAAAGCGGCGAACGGGUGAGGAAUACAUGGGUAACCUACCCUCGAGUGGGGAAUAACUAGCCGAAAGGUUAGCUAAUACCGCGUACGCUCCUUGGACUUUGGUUCAGGGAGGAAAGCGAUACCGUGGGUAUCGCGCUCUUGGAUGGGCUCAUGUCCUAUCAGCUUGUUGGUGGGGUGAUGGCCUACCAAGGCGACGACGGGUAGCCGGCCUGAGAGGGCGACCGGCCACACUGGGACUAAGACACGGCCCAGACUCCUACGGGAGGCAGCAGUGGGGAAUCUUGCGCAAUGGGCGAAAGCCUGACGCAGCGACGCCGCGUGAGGGAUGACGGCCUGGUGUAAC